UACGGGGGGAGCAAGCGUUGUUCGGAUUUACUGGGCGUAAAGGGCGCGUAGGCGGUCAGCACAAGUCAGUUGUGAAAUCUCCGGGCUUAACUCGGAACGGUCAACUGAUACUGUGCGACUAGAGUGCAGAAGGGGCAACUGGAAUUCUCGGUGUAGCGGUGAAAUGCGUAGGUAUCGAGAGGAACACCUGCGGCGAAGGCGGGUUGCUGGGCUGACACUGACGCUGAGGCGCGAAAGCCAGGGGGAGCGAACGGGG
rnacentral:rRNA from 1 species